CCAAACAGCCUGUGGAUAUUCGGGUGAGGGGCUCGCUGUCUGACUUGGCCGCUCAGACGCGCAUCGCAUAGAGUAGCAACGAACAGCCAGACAGGCACACGGUCGUCCAGUUCCUAUGCACCUCGCCCGUGAGGGGAGGAUGAAGCCAAGCCCACCUGAGCCCAUACACGGCCUAGUCGGCAUAGGGCUUCUCGGGUAGAGUCUGUGCCGGAGAAAGACUGGAAAGUUCCUUGGCCGAAGGGUCAGUCUGGCCCGCAAGGCACAUCUGAGCAUUGUCACAGUUAAUGCCAUGGCUUAAUGCCACUUUUACCCCAAAGGAAGGACAACACCACGACAGAGGUCAAAGUCAGAAGGGUGUGUGUCCCUGCAGAAGAAAGACUUGGUGAAUGAUUGAGUCCCUGUAGCUGUUGCUCUCAGCUCCAAGGCCAUGGGGUGGUUUCCGAGAGGUCUUGGUACAAGAGAAUGCAGUGUCACAGGAGAGUCACACAGUCUCAAAAGGCGAGACAGCCACACUGGAUGUCUUUAUGGGGCCCCUAUGUUUCUCUUUUCUCUCUCUCUCUCUCUUUAAGCACAUUGGGGAGCAGCCUCUGUGCGUCACUCUCACACAUUUUAUAUUGUUUCUCAUUAUUGGAUGCCUCAAUUAGGGCUGGGAUGUUUUCAACCAUAUUCAGGUAUUCCAUAUACACACAUGCAGGGGUAUUCCCCAAGUACUUAUCGGGGGGAAAGACACACACACACACACACACACACAAACACACACACACACAGACACACACACACACAC